rnacentral:lncRNA from 1 species
CGGCCCGUAAUAAAAUCAAAUCAAAACAAUAAAAUAAGCCAAACAAAAUUAAUAACAGUCCAAAUGUCCAUUUACAGACCCACCAAGCCCAAAUAACCCAAAAUUACAUCAAACCCAAGACCCGAAAAAUAGCUAAACCUAACCCAAAACCAAAUCGGCCGAAAUGGCCCAACACCAGAAAACCUAAAUUGGAAAUGGAAAAUUCCUAGGGUUUCCAGAGGAUCUAAGCGCCGCAAGCUCUACCCCCG